rnacentral:lncRNA from 1 species
GUCGAUGAAUGUGGGGUACCAUUCCUUGAUGAUGUGGUCAUGUUUGUAGUCGGCCUUAUUGUCCUUUAGAUGUUCCACGGUGUUCCGCUCGCUCUUCUCAUAGGCCUCCCGGGGCUUCCGGACAGACACCUUGCAUUCUCGGACCUUGUUGACGAUGAAUUCUUGGAUGAGAAACCUGAUAUCUUCCAUGAGGCAGUCAUCAUAAAGAAGUCUGAAUAUCUUGGUUGAGAGCUAGACUUUGGAAACAGAGAGACCCUGUAUAAUAACAGACUAAGAAGUAAGGAAGACAAGCCCAGCCAGUCCCACAACUAUUUCAUUAAUACCAGGUAAAGCAACAGACCUGCCAGUGAAGCAUCUUGGAUCCUUUAGCUUUAGUAAUGUUCUUGUAGUAAUUUUGGAAGUCAAUACUUUCCUUAAGAAUACUAAAGUUUUCUUUUGGGAAAAGAGAAAAACUGAGGAGAGGAAACAAACUGCUCUUAUACCUUCUUCCAUGGUCUUUGGAUGAAGGUUAAGUUAUGGGCCCCAAAAGUGGGCUAGCCUCAUUUGGAUAAUACUCCAUCCUAAGCAGUAUGGUUUUGAAUAAGUUGCUGAGACUUUCUGUGCCUCCAUUUGUAAAUGGUAUAAUAAUACCUAGUUCAUGGAAUUGUUGUGAGAAUGACAUAAGUGAAAGUAUGUAUAUUUCCAUGUUCUAUAUAAACUGGUUUUCUACAAAUUACAAAGCAACAACUAACCAAGUUAAUUGAAAUCGAGUACUUUAUUCAAGUAAUAAAUAUCUGGUAUUUACAAAUCAAAAUUGAAAAUCAUAGUACAUAACGAAAAUUCAUAUAUACAGAUCAACAAAUAUAGUAAUUUAAAACACC